rnacentral:rRNA from 1 species
CCUACGGGAGGCAGCAGUGGGGAAUAUUGCACAAUGGGCGCAAGCCUGAUGCAGCCAUGCCGCGUGUGUGAAGAAGGCCUUCGGGUUGUAAAGCACUUUCAGCGGAGAGGAAGGCGGUGAGGUUAAUAACCUCAUCGAUUGACGUUACCCGCAGAAGAAGCACCGGCUAACUCCGUGCCAGCAGCCGCGGUAAUACGUAGGACCCAAGCGUUAUCCGGAGUGACUGGGCGUAAAGAGUUGCGUAGGCGGUCGGUAAAGCGAAUAGUGAAAUCUGGUGGCUCAACCAUACAGACUAUUAUUCGAACUCACCGACUCGAGAAUAACAGAGGUAACUGGAAUUUCUUGUGUAGGAGUGAAAUCCGUAGAUAUAAGAAGGAACACCAAUGGCGUAGGCAGGUUACUGGGUUAUUUCUGACGCUAAGGCACGAAAGCGUGGGGAGCGAACCGGAUUAGAUACCCUGGUAGUC